rnacentral:rRNA from 1 species
GAUGAACGCUAGCUACGGGCUUAACACAUGCAAGUCGAGGGGUAACGAGAGGAAAGCUUGCUUUCCUUGUCGACGACCGGCGCACGGGUGAGUAACGCGUAUCCAACCUGCCCCCAACUAGGGAAUAACCUUGCGAAAGUAAGACUAAUACCCUAUAAUUUCCUCAGAUGACAUCUGACGAGGAAUAAAGAUUUAUCGGUUGUGGAUGGGGAUGCGUCUGAUUAGCUUGUUGGCGGGGUAACGGCCCACCAAGGCAAGGAUCAGUAGGGGUUCUGAGAGGACAGGCCCCCACAAUGGAACGGAGACACGGUCCAAACUACUACGGGAGGCAGCAGUGAGGAAUAUUGGUCAAUGGGCGGAAGCCUGAACCAGCCAAGUAGCGUGCAGGAUGACGGCCCUAUGGGUUGUAAACUGCUUUUAUACAGGAAUAAAGUUAGCCACGUGUGGUUAUUUGUAGGUACUGUAUGAAUAAGGACCGGCUAAUUCCGUGCCAGCCGCCGCAGUAACAC